UACGUAGGGGGCGAGCGUUGUCCGGAGUACUGGGCGUAAAGCGCACGCAGGCGGUCUGCUAAGUUUGGAGUGACAGUUGGUGGCUUAACUGCCAAAAGUGCUUCGAAAAACUGACAGACUUGAGGGCUUCAGAGGGACACGGAAUUCCGGGUGGAGUGGUGAAAUGCGUAGAGAUCCGGAGGAAUACCAAAGGCGAAGGCAGUGUCCUGGCUGGCAUCUGACGCUGAGGCGCGAAAGCUAGGGGAGCGAACAGG
rnacentral:rRNA from 1 species